GGGCUCCAGGCAGGGCUCCUCGGCGUCCCUCCGGGCCCCGACGGAGGUGCCGGAGAUCUUCCGGCUACAAACCCGGGCAGGUGGAGCUCGUUAGCCGUGGUAGGCAAUCUGCCUAGGAGAGCAAACUCUAUACAAACCCGGGCAGGUGAGGCUCGUUAGCCGUGGUAGGCAAUUCACCUAGGAGAGCAAACUCUAUACAAACCCGGGCAGGUGAGGCUCGUUAGCCGUGGUAGGCAAUUCACCUAGGAGAGCAAACUCUAUACAAACCCGGGCAGGUGAGGCUCGUUAGCCGUGGUAGGCAAUUCACCUAGGAGAGCAAACUCUAUACAAACCCGGGCAGGUGGAGGUCGUUAGCCGUGGGAGGCAAUUCACCUAGGAGAGCAAACUCCGAACAAUAAACCCGGGCAGGUGGAGGUCGUUAGCCGUGGGAGGCAAUUCACCUAGGAGAGCAAACUCUAAACAAACCCGGGCAGGUGAGGCUCGUUAGCCGUGGUAGGCAAUUCACCUAGGAGAGCAAACUCCGAACAACAAACCCGGGCAGGUGGAGCUCGUCAGCCGUGGUAGGCAAUCUGCCUAGGAGAGCAAACUCCGAACAAUAAACCCGGGCAGGUGGAGGUCGUCAGCCGUGGUAGGCAAUUCACCUAGGAGAGCAAACUCCGAACAAUAAACCCGGGCAGGUGGAGGUCGUCAGCCGUGGUAGGCAAUCUGCCUAGGAGAGCAAACUCUAAAUAAACCCGGGCUUGUGGUGCUCGUUAUACUGUCGUAGACAAUCCACGCGAUGGGAACACCAAAGAAAAGGAAAAUAAAAAACACCACCAGAAAAAUGGAAAAUACAGAAACGAAACAUCAAGAAAAGAAACAAAAAGAUCAUCCACCUUUAGGCCCUAACAUCGCCAAAAUUAUGGGUGGGUCUCUUCUGGGGAGAAAGCGGCUCAUCCAGACCAAAGAACAUCAACAAAAGGAUGAUAUGAAUAAAUUAACAUAAAAAACAAACAAAGAAAAACACAUCAAGGAAAGAAAAAUAUAACAAACAUCAUCCACCUUCCGGCAAUGACUAACAUCACCAAAAUUAUGGGUGGGUCUCUUCUGGGGAGAAAGCGGCUCACCCAGACCAAAGAACAUCAACAAGGGAUGAUAUAGAAAAGAACACCAAAAAAAUAUGGAAAAAGAACAGAAAAAACAUCGAAAAAGAAAAGCAACAGAAAUAAAUGAGCAACAUCGAGAAAAGAGAAAUACAAAGAAACAUCAUCCACCUUUCGGCCCCAAACAACAUCACCAAAAUUAUGGAUGGGUCUCUUCUGGGAGGAAAGCGGCUCAUCCAGUCCAAGGAACAUCAACAAAAGGAUGAUGGGAAAAAAAUAACAACAAAAAACAUCAAAAAGAAGUAAAAAGAAAAAGAACAGGAAAACAUCGAAAAAGAAAACAAAAGCAAUAAAAAGAACGAAAAACACGACAUCAAGAAAAUAAAAUAAAACAAACAUCAUCCACCUUUCGG